AUGACUCAAGCUCAUUCAAAAUCUCACUUCCACCAAUUCUGGGAUGGGCUUCACAUCAACGGGAGCAGCGACAGCUUCGCCAUCGAGCUACUGCCGUCGCUUGGCGCAACCAUAAACCACUCCAAUAAGCUGAAGAAGUUCAUCGUAUCGCCCUACGAUCCCCGCUACAGAUUCUGGGAGCUGUUCCUCAUAGUCCUAGUUGUUUAUUCCGCCUGGGUUUGCCCGUUUGAACUGGCAUUCUUGAGGAACUUGCCGUCUAAGCUUGUGCUAGUUGAGAACAUUGUCAAUGGCUUCUUUGCCAUUGAUAUUGUUAUGACAUUCUUUGUAGCUUAUGUUGACAGUAAAACACAUCUUCUUGUGGACGAUCGGAAGAGAGUUGCAGUAAGAUAUCUAUCAACUUGGUUCAUAUUUGAUGUAUGCUCAACAGCUCCAUUUCAACCCAUCAUCCUUCUGUUCACACACAAGGGAAAUGACCUUUCCUUUAAGGUUCUCAAUCUGCUAAGGUUGUGGCGUCUUAACAGAGUCAGCACGCUGUUUGCCAGGCUGGAGAAGGAUAUCCGAUUCAACUAUUUCUGGACUAGGUGCUCAAAGCUUAUUUCUGUCACCCUCUUUGCGGUGCAUUGCGCGGGAUGCUUCAACUAUAUGCUUGCUGACAGAUACCCCUACCCAGAGAAUACAUGGAUUGGUGCCGUGAUGCCUACAUUCAGAUCAGAGAGCCUAUGGACUAGAUAUGUUACUGCUCUGUACUGGUCCAUUACGACGCUGACAACAACAGGAUAUGGGGACUUGCAUGCUGAGAACCCAAGGGAGAUGCUCUUUGAUAUUUUCUAUAUGCUCUUUAAUCUGGGCUUGACGGCUUACCUCAUCGGCAAUAUGACCAACCUGGUUGUUCAUGGCACCAGCCGCACCCAGAAAUUUAGGGACUCCAUAUAUGCAGCUUCAGAGUUCGCGGCACGAAAUCAGCUGCCUGUGAGCAUAAAGGAGCAAAUGCUAUCUCACUUCUGCCUACAGUUCAAGACAGAAGGCUAUAACCAGAAGACCAUGUUAAAUGGUCUACCAAAAGGAAUCCGUUCAAGCAUAGCAUACAGCUUAUUCUUCCCAAUCUUGCGACGAGCCUAUCUCUUCCAUGGAGUAUCCAACAGUUUCAUUGCAGAACUGGUCAUGGAAGUGCAGCCUGAGUAUUUUCCACCAAAGGAAGAUAUCAUAUUGCAGAAUGAAGGGGCAGCUGAUAUUUACCUAAUAGUUUCAGGAGCAGUGAAUAUGAUAACAACCAUAAAUGGGAAUGAGCAGGUAUAUGCGAAAGUUACGAAUGGUGAUAUGUUUGGAGAGGUUGGUGCUCUAUGUAACAUAACUCAGCCAUUUACUUUCCGCACAGCUGAACUGUCACAACUCCUGAGAAUCAGCAGGACAAGACUCAGAGAGGCCAUUCAAAAUCACAGGGAAGACAAUGACAUUCUAAUGAAUAAUCUAUUCCAGAAACUGAAGCUACCGGAAAAUUUACCUGAAGUGAACCAACCAGACAGAAGAUUCUUGAGCAAGUAUGACCUAUUUCAUAUACCUCGAGAAGAACGGAUGCUACAAUGGCCACACCAACAUUACACAGAACAGAAAAGUAUAGAUCUUGGUAGCAAGGUUCCAAUAUCUGGAGAUGGUCCUCAUUCAACGAAGUUAUUCGGACAAGUGCCACAGCAAGAAGACAUCCAUAACAAGUCGAACUGCAAGUAUAGAUUAUCGGAUGGAAUGAUGGACAAAGAAGAGGAUCUCAACGAGGUUCGCAUAAAUUGUGAGACCAAAACAAGCGCUGAAGAGUUCUGUAUUAAAAUAAAAUCCGAAGACAAGACCGCAGCAAGCAGUCAGCAAACAAUACUUGCGAAAAUGCAGCCGGGUUCUCCACAAAGGACAUCCGAAAACAUAUCAAGGAGCAGAUAUCAAGAUUAUAGUGGCAUAAAAGCAGCCAAUAAAAGAGUUACAAUUCAUAUAUAUUCUCAUAAUGCAAUAGGUUCUACGGUACAGAAUGGGAAGCUUAUCAGCCUGCCUGAUUCGCUGGAGGAACUUAUAAAAAUUGGCAGACAGAAGUUUCCAGAUUUCCAUCCGACAAAAGUGGUCAGUAGAGAUUAUGCUGAAAUAGAUGACAUUAGUGUCAUCCGAGAUGGCGACCACAUAUUCUUUCUUCAGAUUUAA
rnacentral:rRNA from 1 species